GCGGUCGUUGUGUCCUUGGGCAAGACUACUGGUGGUGAUCAGACAACACGUUCUCACUCCCAACUCGUCAAACGUGUGACGCAUGGUCAGGCUCCCUCUGCUUCACUUAUGGACGUGCAGGGUACCCCUCUCGCCUCGGGAAUUGACGUGAAGGGUCCUCCGAUUGAAGAGAUUGCCGCGGAAGUGCCUGUUGUCGAUGGAGGAUCACUAACAGGAGCGUGGGAAGACUCCAGAAUCCACUCUGGCUGGAAUCCGGUGGAUAUGCAGUGUGUACAGGGCACGGAUGGCUUGGGGAUAGAAGCUCCUCUUGAGUCUCUCUGUCCUUGCCCGGAAGAUGCGGAACCUUCUACCAGAUUGCAGAAGUUGGAACAGUUUGUUGCCAGGAUGGGACGGGUCAACUAGUGUGUUUCCAUAGAUUACCUCUGUAUGAAUGUACUUCUUAAAUGAAGGCAAGUGUUUGUCCUUUUUUGUUCCUCAGGUACAGUACGUGAUAUCAAGGGCAGGCGGUCAACACUGGGGGUAGACAAGAAGCAGACGUACUUCCAAGAGGGAGCUGCAGUGAGGUCAGAGGAGGCGCUGGAAGGUUUCCCUAAUAAUUCCUGGUGAAUCAAAGCAGAACCAUAAAGAUUGCUGGACUACAUGAUGGCCUUACCCCUGAGCAGUCAUCCUGUUAAAGGAGGAACCAGUUAGAAGCUGUUUUCAAAGUAGCUGAGCAGAUUUCAUCUCAACAGACAAAGCUGAUGGCAGAAGAUGUCAGAGAAGAACUUCAGGCCGUGGACUGAAAAGAUCAAAUCAGCUCGUGCUGCUUCUGCUUCCAAUUAAGAAGAAGAAGAAGAAGGCGAAGGCUUCAGCGAAGUGGCGUUCAUGGUCUCAGUGAAUAGUCACGGUCACACACUGCAUGUGGUUUUAAAAGCAACAUGUCUGUUCACCACAACAAUGGAGAUGUGUAAUAUUAGUGCAGCUACGGUUUGUUCUUGAACACCAGUUUUGUUUUCUACUUUGAUCACUUAGACCAAAAAAGUGUUGUUUUCAGAUUCUUUCUUUUACAUCUAUAAACCACCUGUUCAUUUUUUUUAUUACAAUUAGUUUCACAUGAAUGUUAGUGUUUCCUUCAUGAUCUUUUAAUGCUUACACUACACUGUACAUGUCUACAUUAGAGACAUUUCUGUUACCUGUUUCUGUUGACUCAGAGUUGUGAAAUGUUCUUUUAUUUAAUGCACAAUAUGAAGCUCAUAAUUUUCUUACAAAUAAAAAUCUAAUGACAAACAUGAACAGCUGUGCUUAUUUCUGAG
ensembl:lncRNA